rnacentral:rRNA from 1 species
ACCACAACGGGUGGAGCCUGCGGUUUAAUUGGACUCAACGCCGGGCAGCUCACCGGAUAAGACAGCUGGAUGAUAGCCGGGCUGAAGACUCUGCUUGACUAGCUGAGAGGAGGUGCAUGGCCGUCGUCAGUUCGUACUGUGAAGCAUCCUGUUAAGUCAGGCAACGAGCGAGACCCACGCCAACAGUUGCCAGCAUGUCCUCCGGGAUGAUGGGGACACUGUUGGGACCGCCUCUGCUAAAGAGGAGGAAGGAAUGGGCAACGGUAGGUCAGCAUGCCCCGAAUUAUCCGGGCUACACGCGGGCUACAAUGGUCAGGACAAUGGGUAUCGACACCGAGAGGUGGAGGCAAUCUCCUAAACCUGUCCUUAGUUCGAAUUGUGGGCUGCAACUCGCCCACAUGAAGCUGGAAUCCGUAGUAAUCGCGUUUCAAAAUAGCGCGGUGAAUAUGUCCCUGCUCCUU